AUAAUCCGGGCACUGUACAUCAGGGACUUAGCGCUGAUUGGCCAGGUAGCGUACGCAUGCGUACUACAGUGGCGCCCAGUUAGAAACCGUUAGAGGAAAUGGCGGACAGUCGGUGGAGAAAUCAGGCGUUUACAUCGCUUUUUGUGCGAUAUAUGGCACCGCCGGAGUCUACGAUGAUCGGCAAUCGUGUUUGGAGAGGCUUGAGAGUCGAGGGGAAAUGCGAGGUCAUUUCACACGCCCGGAAUUGCGACGCUACGAGCGGAGCAAUCUUCGUCGCCCCCCUCCCCCUUACCCGGAAGCCCGUCUGCCAGCAAAAUAAUUUUGACCAAACAUAACGGACGGUCCUUCUAGUUCGGAGAUCUUCAGUAGAUACUUCCUCCAAAAUCCAGCAGAGAUUGUAUAACAAGGACAGUCGGGAACAAGGCAAGGCAAAGCAGCUGCUAGAACUCAGCCUCUGAGUACCUGACUACUGCUACAGGCACCAUAGGACCUGACUCACCACAAGGACUCCAAACCAACACCAAGACAUCCAGCAUGCAGACACAGAAGAGACAUCCCUGUAUCUUACCCAGUGUUUGGCAGCAGUGGAGUCCGAUGUAGAUAGGAAUGGGGAGAGGAUGACAACGCCUUUAUUUUUAUGUGAUGGUUGUUAGAGUAGUAAGGCCUUCAUAGGCUUAGCCAUAGCAGAAUAGGUAGCAAAUUGUACUUCAGUUCAAUUAUACAAUACAGCAGUGAAUAUUAUCUUUUAGUGAUGAUGAUGAUGGUGAUACAUAUUGCAGGUCAGUUUCCUUGUUACAUGUAUAUUUACGAUUCUUUGAAUAGUUUGCUAAGCCUGCAUGUGGCUAUUGUACAGGAGGAAUCUGUAGGACGACCUUUUUAAAGCUUUAA